GACGAAGGAUGCAAGCGUUAUCCGGAUUCAUUGGGUUUAAAGGGAGCGUAGGCGGAUUUGUAAGUCAGUGGAUGAAAUCGUCCGGGCUCAACCCGGAAACUGCCAUUGAUACUGUAGGUCUAGAGUACAGUUGCCGUUGGCGGAAUAUGACAUGUAGUGGUGAAAUACUUAGAUAUGUCAUAGAACACCGGUGGCGAAGGCGGCCCACUGGAUCGGUACUGACGCUGAGGUGCGAAAGCGUGGGGAGCAAACAGG
rnacentral:rRNA from 1 species